CUCUCUUCUUCAAAGUCCAUCACUGUUUUUCUCUAACCAACACGAGUAGAAGGGGUUCUGAUUGCGGAUUCAAUCUUUUUCUGCGCGACCUAUAUAUUACAAGUUCAAGUAUCGUAAAGAGUAUGAGGCAAGGUUGAGGCAGUAAGCUUGGGAAGAGCUUGCGGCUGGGAGUUUGAGCAAAAGUUGGUAUUUUUGCUUGUCUAUAAUGUGUAUAUCACGGGGUUCUCUGGGUGGUUUUAAAUUUCUUGCUUGACCCAUGCAUCUGGAUAGUUUAUUUUGUUGUUGUCCCAUGUUUGUUUUGAUGUAUUUUGCUGUUGUAUAUACGAUGGGAUCUAGUUGGAAGUCCUAGCAUGGUUUGUAAAUGGAAACUUUGUUAUGCUGGAAACAGAGAUCCUGAAUCUCAUUUUGGAUGUUUAUUUGAAACUGCAUUUAGAACUUUCUUGGUCCUCAACAUGCUGGCAGGUUUUGAUAUAUAUAUUACACUCUGUUUGGAGA